CUACGGGACGCUGCAGUGAGGAAUAUUGCACAAUGGGGGGAACCCUGAUGCAGCAACGCCGCGUGGAGGAUGACGCAUUUCGGUGUGUAAACUCCUUUUAUAUGUCAAGAAAAUGACGGUAGCAUAUGAAUAAGUACCGGCUAACUACGUGCCAGAAGCCUCGGUUAUGCGUAGGGUACAAGCAUUAUCCGGAAUUAUUGGGCGUAAAGGGUGUCUCGGCGGUUCGAUACAUUUUUGCUUAAAUUUUUUGGCUCAACCAAAAAAUUGGUUAAAACACGGUCGAACUAGAGGCCACUAGAGGUAUAUGGAAUUGCUGGUGUAGGAGUGAAAUCCGUUGAUAUCGGCAAGAACACCAACGGCGCAGGCAAUAUACUAUAGUGGUUCUGACGCUCAAGCACGAAAGCGUGGGUAGCGAAAGGGAUUAGAUACCCUCGUAGUC
rnacentral:rRNA from 1 species